ensembl:rRNA 5S_rRNA 5S ribosomal RNA
GACAUUUGGUAGAGACUGUUGAAGCCACCUGGUCCAAGCAGACCCCAGAAAAAAGCCACAUUCGUUGGUGCCAGAACAAGGUUGUUAAGGGUGAAGCCUGGUGCCAGAUGUGU